ACAACCGUGAUUCCGGGAGUAGUGGCGAGCGAAACCGGAUGAGGCCAAACCGUAUGCGUGUGAUACCCGGCAGGGGUUGCGCAUGCGGGGUUGUGGGAUCUCUCUUUCACAGUCUGCCGGCUGUGAGGCGAGUCAGAAACCGUUGAUGUAGGCGAAGGACAUGCGAAAGGUCCGGCGUAGAGGGUAAGACCCCCGUAGCUGAAACAUUGACGGCUCGUUUGAGAGACACCCAAGUAGCACGGGGCCCGAGAAAUC
rnacentral:rRNA from 1 species